UGGGAAUCUUCCGCAAUGGACGAAGUCUGACGGAGCAACGCCGCGUGUAUGAUGAAGGUCUUCGGAUUGUAAAGUACUGUCAUUGGGGAAGAACGGUUUUCUUGAAAAGAUUGAGAAGACAUGACGGUACCCAAGGAGGAAGCCCCGGCUAACUACGUGCCAGCAGCCGCGGUAAUACGUAGGGGGCAAGCGUUGUCCGGAAUUAUUGGGCGUAAAGGGCGCGUAGGCGGGCCUUUAAGUCCGGUGUGAAAGAUCAGGGCUCAACCCUGAGAGUGCAUCGGAAACUGGAGGCCUUGAGGACAGGGGAGGAAAGUGGAAUUCCACGUGUAGCGGUGAAAUGCGUAGAUAUGUGGAGGAACACCAGUGGCGAAGGCGACUUUCUGGACUGUAACUGACGCUGAGGCGCGAAAAGCGUGGGGAGCAAACAGGAUUAGAUACCCUGGUAGUCCACGCCGUAAACGAUGAGUGCUAGGUGUAGAGGGUAUCGACCCCCUUCUGUGCCGCAGUUAACACAAUAAAGGCACUCCCGCCUGGGGAGUACGAUCGCAAGAUUAAAAACUCAAAAGGAAUUGACGGGGGUCAUAGCUGUUUUU
rnacentral:rRNA from 1 species